rnacentral:rRNA from 1 species
UACGUAGGGUGCGAGCGUUGUCCGGAAUUAUUGGGCGUAAAGAGCUUGGUAGGCGGUUUGUCGCGUCUGCUGUGAAAAUCCGGGGCUCAACCCCGGACUUGCAGUGGGUACGGGCAGACUAGAGUGUGGUAGGGGAGACUGGAAUUCCUGGUGUAGCGGUGAAAUGCGCAGAUAUCAGGAGGAACACCGAUGGCGAAGGGAGGUCUCUGGGCCACUACUGACGCUGAGAAGCGAAAGCAUGGGGAGCGAACAGGAUUAGAUA